AUUGAACGCUGGCGGCAGGCCUAACACAUGCAAGUCGAACGGUAACAGGAAGAAGCUUGCUUCUUUGCUGACGAGUGGCGGACGGGUGAGUAAUGUCUGGGAAACUGCCUGAUGGAGGGGGAUAACUACUGGAAACGGUAGCUAAUACCGCAUAACGUCGCAAGACCAAAGAGGGGGACCUUCGGGCCUCUUGCCAUCGGAUGUGCCCAGAUGGGAUUAGCUAGUAGGUGGGGUAACGGCUCACCUAGGCGACGAUCCCUAGCUGGUCUGAGAGGAUGACCAGCCACCCUGGAACUGAGACACGGUCCAGACUCCUACGGGAGGCAGCAGUGGGGAAUAUUGCACAAUGGGCGCAAGCCUGAUGCAGCCAUGCCGCGUGUAUGAAGAAGGCCUUCGGGUUGUGAAGUACUUUCAGCGGGGAGGAAGGGAGUAAAGUUAAUACCUUUGCUCAUUGACGUUACCCGCAGAAGAAGCACCGGCUAACUCCGUG
rnacentral:rRNA from 1 species